rnacentral:rRNA from 1 species
UACGUAGGGUCCGAGCGUUGUCCGGAAUUAUUGGGCGUAAAGGGCUCGUAGGCGGUCCGUCACGUCGGGAGUGAAAACUCAGGGCUCAACCCUGAGCGUGCUUCCGAUACGGGCGGACUAGAGGUAUGCAGGGGAGAACGGAAUUCCUGGUGUAGCGGUGGAAUGCGCAGAUAUCAGGAGGAACACCGGUGGCGAAGGCGGUUCUCUGGGCAUUACCUGACGCUGAGGAGCGAAAGCGUGGGGAGCAAACAGG